UGGGGAAUCUUGCGCAAUGGGCGAAAGCCUGACGCAGCGACGCCGCGUGAGUGAUGAAGGCCUUCGGGUUGUAAAGCUCUGUGGGGAGAGACGAAUAAGUUCCGGUUAAUACCCGGAGCGAUGACGGUAUCUCCUUAGCAAGCACCGGCUAACUCUGUGCCAGCAGCCGCGGUAAGACAGAGGGUGCAAACGUUGUUCGGAAUUACUGGGCGUAAAGCGCGUGUAGGCGGCACGGCAUGUCGGAUGUGAAAUCCCAUGGCUCAACCAUGGAAGUGCACCCGAAACUGCCGAGCUGGAGUCUCGGAGAGGAAGGCGGAAUGCUUGGUGUAGAGGUGAAAUUCGUAGAUAUCAAGCGGAACACCGGUGGCGAAGGCGGCCUUCUGGACGAUGACUGACGCUGAGACGCGAAAGCGUGGGGAGCAAAC
rnacentral:rRNA from 1 species